rnacentral:rRNA from 1 species
UACGAAGGGGGCUAGCGUUGUUCGGAAUUAUUGGGCGUAAAGAGCUCGUAGGCGGUUUGUCGCGUCUGCCGUGAAAGUCCGGGGCUCAACUCCGGAUCUGCGGUGGGUACGGGCAGACUAGAGUGAUGUAGGGGAGACUGGAAUUCCUGGUGUAGCGGUGAAAUGCGCAGAUAUCAGGAGGAACACCGAUGGCGAAGGCAGGUCUCUGGGCAUUAACUGACGCUGAGGAGCGAAAGCAUGGGGAGCGAACAGG